rnacentral:lncRNA from 1 species
UUUUUUUGAGCUUUCAAUUUUCUUGAAUUAGUUUAUUAAUGCAUAAUUUAUCAGGUUUGCUGAAUAGUUAUUGGCAAAAAUACUUUGGUUCUGGUACUCAUAGUAGAUAACUUUUGAUCCACUUUUCUAGCUCUAGAAUUUAUUAAUUUUAUUUGUUAACUCUUGAUUAUCUUCAAAUACAGAUCUUUUAUCAAUCAAUUUAUUAGAGACCACUAUUGUGGAGCUUGUGGGAUUGCUCUCAAAGAUGAUGGGGGUGAUGUUUUGAAGAGGCUUUAUUUCCAGCAGUAGUAGCCAAUGGGUUUGAUUUUGGUUUUGUUCUUUAUAUUUGUUGUGAAGGAUUGUAUAUCUAAAGAAGACAUAUUUUGUUUAUAAAUUAUACCAAAUUAUGAAAUUACUUUUGGCUUUUUCAUAUUAAUUUUAAAUUCACAUUCUUUUUUAGUUUUAA